AGGACAGCAGUCGCCGCGGUAAUACGUAGGGUGCAAGCGUUAAUCGGAAUUACUGGGCGUAAAGCGUGCGCAGGCGGUUCUAUAAGACAGAUGUGAAAUCCCCGGGCUCAACCUGGGAACUGCGUUUGUGACUGUAGAGCUGGAGUGCGGCGGAGGGGGAUGGAAUUCCGCGUGUAGCAGUGAAAUGCGUAGAUAUGCGGAGGAACACCGAUGGCGAAGGCAAUCCCCUGGGCCUGCACUGACGCUCAUGCACGAAAGCGUGGGGAGCAAACAGGAUUAGAUACCCCCGUAGUCCCUGUCUCUUAUAC
rnacentral:rRNA from 1 species